rnacentral:lncRNA from 15 species
UUUCCGGUUUCUCACCCAACAGUUUGGACGGGACUUCCUCAAACAUUUUAAGAAUAAUAGUCUCUUCUCCUUGGUGCUCGGUAGAUUCAGGUUUCAGCUGGUUGCAGUCUGAAACUUCACCACUAGAGGUCACUAAUUCCUGCACACUGGUCCUUUAACUUUGUUUAUUCUCAGAUUAGUUCAGGCCUCCCACCUGAUACCUUUAUCCUUUUGGUGGGUCGGUCUCAGUCUUAAUGAUUCUCUUAACCCCUGUACUCGUUGUCCAUUUUUGUCCUGCAGACGAGAAUAAAACUGUAAACUUUCACUAACUCUGUUUUUAUUUGUUACCAUGUGUCUCAAAGCUGUUUCUGUCCCCCUCUGUUUGUAGCUCUCUCUCUUUCUGUCCUCUUCCAGGUCUCCAUGGUGGAGAGGAGGUCAUAUGGCUCGAGUUGUUCAAUGUCCUCCUGGAUCCACAUUCUUCACUUACAUUUUAUAUUCAUCAGAGAUUCUGACAUCAAAGUUUGAAUCUAAAGUGAUUGUGUUUGUUCUGUACAGUCGACAUCUAUUGUAUGUCUGUCCAUUCUGGGAGAAGGAUCCCUCCUCUGUUACUCCUCCUGAGAUUGCUUCCACUUUCAGAAUGAUGAUGUUGUUGUGAGCCUAGUUUACAACUUUGUUUUCACUGUUACAGCCAUAAAGCGUGGGUGGUUGUGGUGUUUCUUUCUCUUUCACUCUCGCUCUCUCUCUCUCUCUCUCUAUGCAGGUACUGACCUCCCUCUCUCUAACAGGUAGGUGUGUGCAGCUGACUCCAGUUACUAAUAUGAGCUGGGUCUGUAUAAACUGGGACCAGAGUUGCAGCUGUGUGCCAGUGGGUCGUCCGGCAGUGUCCACGCUGUGUGUCAGAGACGAGAGCUGUGUUCAGAUGAAAGCGGUCCUCCCUGAUAACUUUGAUCGUGCAGCUACCUCCCUGAGUUGAGGCUCCCUGACACUCACUCAACAGGUAUGUAGAUUUUUUACAUCAAACACUUAAUAAUACAUUAUAUUAGGGAUUUCUUUCACAUGCCAUUAUUGUAAUUAUUUUACUGUGUUUCUGGAAUAAAAGUCAAACUGUCAACAGUCUUUUUCUGCAGUAUUAUUUCAUUCAUGUGGCUACAGUAGUGAACGCUGUGUUAAUCUGAGACCAAUCAGCAUUUUACUUUGUAUUCACACAUAUCCAACCUGCUUUCCUCUUGUCUU